rnacentral:rRNA from 1 species
CAGCCAUGCCGCGUGUGUGAAGAAGCGCCUUUUGGUUGUAAAGCACUUUAAGUGGGGAGGAGGCUUACCUGGUUAAUACCUGGGCUAAGUGGACGUUACCCACAGAAUAAGCACCGGCUAACUCUGUGCCAGCAGCCGCGGUAAU